CAUCACCCCUGGCUUGAGUUUUCCCCGGAGUAGGAAAAUUAUUGGUUUGAGAUUGAGUGUCUUUCAUUGGAUAACCCAUCGGCGGAGGAACCACGUAUGGACCAGAGUACGCAGCAGUGCUAGGUGGAAGAGAUGUAAAAUUACCUUGGGACUGGUUUUGAUUAUUGUAGUGAUUCAUCUUGAAGACAAAAAUCCAAGAGAGAGAGAGAGAGAGAGAUGCAGGAGAUGUUGAAUUUGUAUUAAGUUGGGAGAGUUGUAGGGGAUAAGAGAACGGCUGAUGAAGUUGAAAGAUGACCUUGGGGGGGUUAUAUAUAGGAAUUAGACAUCGGGGGCUUUUGGAAAGAGAGAGAGAGAGAGAGAGGGCGUGGAGUAGUUGAAUGGGGUUUUGGUUGCUUAGUAGAUGAGCCUACCUACCGAGGGCGGCGACGCCGCGUGGUCGUGGGAAAACG